UCACUGCCCCCCCACACGCCCCCCUGCUCACUCCCACCUUUCACCCCCAGGGCCCGCGGGGACCGACGGGGCUUCCUGGCCUGAAAGGGGAAAAAGGCGAGCCGGGGGAGCCCAGGGUGAUUGUAGAUGGAGGCCAGGGGCUGCCCGGACGGAAAGGGGAGCCGGGCACGCCGGGCAGCCCUGGCCCCCCCGGCAGCCCUGGCCCACGGGGACCCUUUGGAGAUCCAGGCCCUCUGGGUCCUACGGGGCCCAUGGGGCCACCGGGACCUCCGGGAGACUUCGUAAAGGGGGAGAAAGGGCGACCGAGGGGAGAGGGGCCCCCCAGGACUUGUGGAUGGGGCAGCGCCCCGAGGGGAGCCAGGUCCCCCGGGUCUGCCUGGGGAUCCUGGCCCUCGGGGACCUGCUGGCACCCCUGGACCCAAGGGCGAGAAGGUAAGAGGGUGGUGGGGACCCCCCUGGCUCUGCAGCGGGGACGCACGUCCCCAUCUCACGGUGUCCUGCUGCCUUUCCUGCCCCCUCAGGGUGAUGGUGAGGACGGUUUGCCAGGGCCACCCGGCCGCCCAGGGGACCCAGGGGACCGGGUGAGUGUCCCGGGACGGGGCAAGGUGGGAGGUGACGCGCUCCCCCCACGGGAGGUGACAUCUCUGCCCUCCUCUGCAGGGCCCGCGGGGACCGCCCGGGGAGCAGGGCAGGAAGGGAGACCGCGGGGCGCCAGGCGAGCUGGGAGAGACGGGCGAGAAGGGGGACCGUGGUGCGCCAGGCCCCGAGGGCGAGAAGGGUGAAGUUGGAGCCCCGGGACGGCCGGGGCCAUCAGGCAGAGAGGU
rnacentral:lncRNA from 1 species